GGGAUGAGCACUCACAAACAGGUUUAGCCAUCCGACCCUUUACACCACUGUCCUAUGUUAGGAGAGGGAUGAGCACUCACAAACAGGUUUAGCCAUCCGACCCUUUAAACCACUGUCCUAUGUUAGGAGAGGGAUGAGCACUCACAAACAGGUUUAGCCAUCCAACCCUUUACACCACUGUCCUAUGUUAGGAGAGGGAUGAGCACUCACAAACAGGUUUAGCCAUCCGACCCUUUACACCACUGUCCUAUGUUAGGAGAGGGAUGAGCACUCACAAACAGGUUUAGCCAUCCGACCCUUUACACCACUGUCCUAUGUUAGGAGAGGGAUGAGCACUCACAAACAGGUUUAGCCAUCCGACCCUUUACACCACUGUCCUAUGUUAGGAGAGGGAUGAGCACUCACAAACAGGUUUAGCCAUCCGACCCUUUACACCACUGUCCUAUGUUAGGAGAGGGAUGAGCACUCACAAACAGGUUUAGCCAUCCGACCCUUUAAACCACUGUCCUAUGUUAGGAGAGGGAUGAGCACUCACAAACAGGUUUAGCCAUCCGACCCUUUACACCACUGUCCUAUGUUAGGAGAGGGAUGAGCACUCACAAACAGGUUUAGCCAUCCGACCCUUUACACCACUGUCCUAUGUUAGGAGAGGGAUGAGCACUCACAAACAGGUUUAGCCAUCCGACCCUUUACACCACUGUCCUAUGUUAGGAGAGGGAUGAGCACUCACAAACAGGUUUAGCCAUCCGACCCUUUACACCACUGUCCUAUGUUAGGAGAGGGAUGAGCACUCACAAACAGGUUUAGCCAUCCGACCCUUUACACCACUGUCCUAUGUUAGGAGAGGGAUGAGCACUCACAAACAGGUUUAGCCAUCCAACCCUUUACACCACUGUCCUAUGUUAGGAGAGGGAUGAGCACUCACAAACAGGUUUAGCCAUCCGACCCUUUAAACCACUGUCC